rnacentral:rRNA from 1 species
CAGCCGCCGCGGUAAUACGAAGGGGGCUAGCGUUGUUCGGAAUUACUGGGCAUAAAGGGCGCGUAGGCGGCCAUUCAAGUUAGAUGUGAAAGCCCUGGGCUCAACCUAGGAAUUGCAUUUGAUACUGUUCGGCUUGAGUUCGGGAGAGGUGAGUGGAAUUCCCAGUGUAGAGGUGAAAUCCGUAGAUAUUGGGAAGGACACCAGUGGCGAAGGCGGCUCACUGGACCGACGCUGACGCUGAGGCGCGAAAGCGUGGGGAGCAAACAGGAUUAGAUACCCGAGUAGUCCCUGUCUCUUAUAC